rnacentral:rRNA from 1 species
AAAACAUCGCCUCCUGAAAAUCUAUUAGAGGUCCCUCCUGCCCAGUGAUAUUUAUUUAACGGCCGCGGUAUCCUGACCGUGCAAAGGUAGCAUAAUAAUUUGUUUCUUAAUUAGAGACUAGAAUGAAUGGAUAAACGAAAGUUCAACUGUAUCAAUAAUAUAAAUAAAAAUUAUCAUUUAGAUGAAGAGAUCUAAAUUAUUAAAAAAGACAAAAAGACCCUAUUGAGCUUAACUUUUACCUACUUCUAAUAUUUUAUAUUUAUAUAAAACAAAAAGCAAUUUAAAGUUUAGUUGGGGCGACUGAGGAAUUUUUAAUUCUUCCUCUAAUAAUAAGGUAAAUAAACCAAUAUAAAAAUCCUUUUUAAAGAAUAAAAACCUAGCUACCAUAGGGAUAACAGGCUAAUUUUUCUCGAAAGUUCAAAUUGACAGAAUAGAUUGGCACCUCGAUGUUGGCUUAGGAUUUCCUUUAGAUGCAGCAGUCUAUAAGGUAGGUUUGUUCAACCUUUAAUAUCCUACAUGAGCUGAGUUCA